rnacentral:lncRNA from 1 species
GCUCCAAAGCCAGGGCUCAUUUCCAUCCUUUCCCCCUAAGUCAAGGAUUCCCGACAUCCCGAAACCACCCAGCCCCAGGUGCUGCCAGGCUGAGGUUGAGGCUUUAGAAAGAGCAACCUCAGGGAGGAGAGUUUGGAGAGGGCCGCUGCUGGGGUGAGGGGAGGAGCGCCUGCAGGUGAGGAACCCGGAGCUAAGGGGUGUGGCCCCGCUGCGCAAUGACCCGGGCGUCUGAUUCCAAGGCCGAGAAGUUCAAGAACGAAAUCUACUAGGGAGCUCUGAUGAUUUCACCACUCGGUGGUAUGGGCUACACCAGUUGGGUGGAAGUGGGGGUGGGGGCGCUCUCCGGGCCCGGUGUACCCCUAGGCUCAUCUGAAUGGGCCUUGAGGCUUCUUCCUACCCACCCACCGCCAUCCUCCGUCCAGUUCCAUAAUGACAGCGAGGAGGCAGAAACCCUAAAUCCUGAAACAUUUUGAGUGGAACCCAGCACGCAGGAACCUGCGAGAUUCUUCCGUUUCGUCGAGGUCCGCAUCGAUUGUAUUGACCUCCCCGUGGGCCAGCUUGUCUCCUUCAUCGAUCAGCCGAACGAAGUCUAGGACAGAACUGUAGACCAAAGGAAAUCGCAGGCGUCUUUGCAAAGCUGGUGGGAAGUAACCCAGCGGCUGCUGGAAAACGAAUGGGUGACCUAAGCCGGUUCCACCCCCUCCCAGGGCGUCGGCAAAAGGAGCUUCUCACCCCACUGCCUCUUAUUCGAUCACUAAUUCAUUUUUUAGUUUGGUUCUGUUUUUAAAACAAAAAUUAAAGAAAAAAUAGUUUAUUUGGUCAAUCAACAAACAUUUGAUGAACACACUGCAUGUGCCAGAGACUACGGUGAGCAUUGGGGUACUAGCGGUGGGGAGAAGUCUGUACAGAAGCAUAAAACCCUGGCGGCGGGGGAGGGGUUAUGGAAACCUCUUUACUGUCAAUUUUUAACAAUGUGAAGGCGCAAGACUCCCUAGUUGUCUAUCCCAAAGUUUUCUGUUUGUGCAGAGCGGCAGUACUACCCACUUGUAGGCAAGGUGUGUGCUCUGAGUGCAAGAAACGGACCGGAGAGUUUAGAAGUUAGGGCCUUUGAGCUGGGAGCUGGGGUGAGCAGAUCCGGGAAAGUCUUUUGCGGGACAGCGGCUGGGUGUUAAGCUCCAGCUCCCGCGCACGCCUGGCGCCCGCGGUGACCUCCGCCAACCAGGUCAGUAACGCUGUCUGGGUUUCCAAGGCUCCCAGGAGCAAAAAAAUCACCCAGCCCUACCUCUCCACAGCGCGUGGAAGAGCUAAGGCUGAUUGAGUUUGACCUUUCUGUCCAGAGAUCUUGAAAUUAAGCCCUCUCCUGUCCCACUCUUCGUGGGCCUCGAUUUUCCUCAUCUUCAAAAUGGGAAUAAUAAUAUAUUUUUACCGGAGUGAACAAAACUCAGGACCAUAAGCAUUAAGCUGGAAGGGACCCAUCUUUUAUUCACUCCCUUGUCUCCAAUACUUUGAAGACUAUCUGGCACCUA